rnacentral:rRNA from 1 species
UACGUAGGGCGCAAGCGUUAUCCGGAAUUAUUGGGCGUAAAGAGCUCGUAGGCGGUUUGUCGCGUCUGCCGUGAAAAGUCCGGGGGCUCAACUCCGGAUCUGCGGUGGGUACGGGGCAGACUAGAGUGAUGUAGGGGAGACUGGAAUUCCUGGUGUAGCGGUGAAAUGCGCAGAUAUCAGGAGGAACACCGAUGGCGAAGGCAGGUCUCUGGGCAUUAACUGACGCUGAGGAGCGAAAGCAUGGGGAGCGAACAGG